GACGAACGCUGGCGGCGUGCUUAACACAUGCAAGUCGAACGGUAAGGCCCUUCGGGGUACACGAGUGGCGAACGGGUGUGUAACACGUGGGUGAUCUGCCCUGCACUUCGGGAUAAGCUUGGGAAACUGGGUCUAAUACCGGAUAGGACUCCGGACUGCAUGGUCUGGGGUGGAAAGCUUUUGCGGUGUGGGAUGGGCCCGCGGCCUAUCAGCUUGUUGGUGGGGUGAUGGCCUACCAAGGCGACGACGGGUAGCCGGCCUGAGAGGGUGACCGGCCACACUGGGACUGAGAUACGGCCCAGACUCCUACGGGAGGCAGCAGUGGGGAAUAUUGCACAAUGGGCGCAAGCCUGAUGCAGCGACGCCGCGUGAGGGAUGACGGCCUUCGGGUUGUAAACCUCUUUCAGCAUCGACGAAGCGAAAGUGACGGUAGGUGCAGAAUAAGGACCGGCUAACUACGUGCCAGCAGCCGCAGUAA
rnacentral:rRNA from 1 species